rnacentral:lncRNA from 1 species
CACGCUCAGUCGCCAUGUUUGUUGUUGGCAUAAGGAUGGCGCUCGAGAGGGCCCCGGGUGGUCUUUGCAGGGUUGACUGUGGAAGAACAGACGCAGUGCCGCUUGCCCAUGCUCCACCAGGGCAGGAGCAGAACUUGUCAGACCCCACCAAUGGCCAACUUUCCGAGAAGGAUCUCUGCUCCCAGAGAGGGUGUGUCUGCUGUCUGUGGUUGCUCACUAUGUCAGUGACUGGGUGAAGUAUUGUCACCUCAGCCACAUCCUCCAGUCCAGCUUUGUCAGUAGUAAAGACGACUCUUUGAUCUCUACCUGACACCUGCUUUUAUUUCUCAGUUCUGAACGCAAGAGGGGCAGAAAGAGUGUUUAUUGGUUUCCAAAAACUCCAGCAGUGGUUGCUAUUUUUAUCGUGCUUAUUUUAAAGAUGAGGAAAGAAAAGCUAGAGAGAUUCUGGAAUGUUCCACAGAGCUGGUAAGUGAAGUGGUAGGAAUAGGCAUUUGAAUCUAGGCAGUCUGACUCUGUACUGUGUGCUGUUAUGUGCAAUGGGCCCCCUUUUCUGCCCUUAUGCAAAAGUAAUGAGAAAUGAAGUAUUUCCUGCCAUAUCAGUAGACAAGGAUAUCACCGUCUUCAGUGAUUGCAGCCACCACUGAUGGUGAGCCCUGAGGGAACUCAAGAAGGAAAGAAUACUUGGCACCUAGAAGCCAUCAGACCUACAGUGAGCCCUGAGGAAAUUCAGGAUGUGAAAACAGGAUACUGACCCCAGAUAGGUGAGGUGCAUGUCAAAGAAAUGAUUCCAGUGAGCCUCGACUCUUGCAUCUUCCUUUAAUUAACAAUCUUUUGAUGUUCACAUUACCUGCCCUUUGUUGCAGAACUUCUAUAUAACUUGGUUCCUGCCUUCGCCUCCUCAGAGCAGUUCUCUCAGGGCUACUUGAGAUGCUGCCUGUCCUAAAUAUUCCUGCCAAAUGAAACUUAACCCUCAGCUUUUAGGUUGUAAAUAUUUUUCACUUUGACAGUAAGCAUGAGAAGACAAUAGAAUCUCAUGUGUGUGUGUUAGUUGCUCAGUCAUGUCUGAUUCUUUGUGACCCCACUGACUGUAGCCUGCCAGGCUCCCCUGUCCAUGGAAUUCUCCAAGCAAGAAUAUUGAAGUGGGAUGCCAUUCCCUUCUCCAGGGGAUCAUCCCAACCCAAGGAUUGAACUUGGGUCUCUGCAUUGCAGGCAGAUUCUCUACUGUCUGAGCUACUA